ACCCGCUGAACUUAAGCAUAUCAANAAGCGGAGGAAAAGAAACCAACCGGGAUUGCCUUAGUAACGGCGAGUGAAGCGGCAAAAGCUCAAAUUUGAAAUCUGGUACCUUCGGUGCCCGAGUUGUAAUUUGGAGAGGGCAACUUUGGGGCCGUUCCUUGUCUAUGUUCCUUGGAACAGGACGUCAUAGAGGGUGAGAAUCCCGUGUGGCGAGGAGUGCGGUUCUUUGUAAAGUGCCUUCGAAGAGUCGAGUUGUUUGGGAAUGCAGCUCUAAGUGGGUGGUAAAUUCCAUCUAAAGCUAAAUAUUGGCGAGAGACCGAUAGCGAACAAGUACAGUGAUGGAAAGAUGAAAAGAACUUUGAAAAGAGAGUGAAAAAGUACGUGAAAUUGUUGAAAGGGAAGGGCAUUUGGUCAGACAUGGUGUUUUGUGCCCUCUGCUCCUUGUGGGUAGGGGAAUCUCGCAUUUCACUGGGCCAGCAUCAGUUUUGGUGGCAGGAUAAAUCCAUAGGAAUGUAGCUUGCCUCGGUAAGUAUUAUAGCCUGUGGGAAUACUGCCAGCUGGGACUGAGGACUGCGACGUAAGUCAAGGAUGCUGGCAUAAUGGUUAUAUGCCGCCCGUCUUGAAACACGACCAAGGAGA
rnacentral:rRNA from 1 species